AGAAACUACUGCUGCAUGUUCAAUGGAGAUCAGCUUGCUGAAGAGAGAAGUUUUACUGCUGCCCAGACCACCUCUUCUGAGAUAUCCUUUCAAAGGGAUUUGAAAGCUUAAUGAAGCACGAGGUGUCUGCUUUGAAGAGCUGCAGGAGUGGGCCAUAUUGCUACCUCUUUCUCCAUAUAGUUAUUUUGUUUGGAACGAAACCUACCUACUGUCAAACACAAAAGACACCAUACCUUUGAGAACCACAUCACACUCUUGCUUUGACAGAAGUCACCAAGUCAGCCCUGCAAGCUCCAUCCACCCAGGAACCAAAGGACAGCUCUAGUGACCAACUCAGAGAAGGUCAAAUAAAAUUUCCAUUGCUUUGGGAGGAGAGCUAGAUCUCCAGUUGAUAUUCAUAGGGAGGACACAUAACCUCAGGUUGACCUUGCUUAUUGGUAUGAAUCACUGACUGUCAGGCACAGGAGGAGAAUCAGGAACUGGAGCCAAAAAUUUCUUAAGUUAUUGACAAGAAUAUAAAAGUGGAGAAAAACUAACAAAAAAAAAAAAAAAGAAAAAAAAAAGAAAUACUGAUUGUAACGAAGCAACACUGAUGGCCGCCCACAUUCAGAGAUCUCCCCUUUGAAGAAGACUGACCAGAAAUUGCAUUUAAAGCAGCUGAUUCUCCCCUGGAAUUAACACGUGACAGGCCCAGAAAACAACACCAAGCAUUGACACAGAGCUGCAUCCUAUUCCCAUGUGGUCACUGGUAAUUUUCAUGCUCUCCCAAGCUUGAGAUGAAGCUGUUUCUGCAAGCUGUUCCUGGGGAUGGCACAUGGGAGGUGCUGGGUGGAGAUGUCCACACAGAGAUGCCUUGCUUGGCCCUCAGUACCAGCUGAGGUGAUCAGCAACAGCUGCUGGUGUGACUGAGGCACAGGCUACAGACACCCAACUCUUUCCUGCCUUGGCCCCCCCAGAGCAGCAGAUGGUUCCUGCUGCUGCUAUUCUCCUCUGGUAGAUAAUGGUCUCCCGGGAGAAGUGCUGGAAGGUGGAUUACCUACAGUUUCAACACAGGGUGAGGCAUUGCUACUCAGAGGAUGAUAGAAGGGAAAAUUGCAAGGCAAUGCACCAAAAUCUCUCUGUGUUCAUAUCUGAGUUGUUCUGAUCAUUGUUAAUGACAUGGUAGAUGUUUUUCAUUUUUACUUUGUAUGAGUUCAUUUAUGUAGGCACUCAAAUUCUCUUCUAAGAUCCCAUUAAAAUGCACCACACUCCACU